rnacentral:rRNA from 1 species
GACGAACGCUGGCGGCGUGCUUAACACAUGCAAGUCGAACGCUGAAGCACCAGCUUGCUGGUGUGGAUGAGUGGCGAACGGGUGAGUAAUACGUGAGUAACCUGCCCUUGACUCUGGGAUAAGCCCGGGAAACUGGGUCUAAUACUGGAUGCUACAUGUCACCGCAUGGUGGUGUGUGGAAAGGGUUUACUGGUCUUGGAUGGGCUCACGGCCUAUCAGCUUGUUGGUGAGGUAAUGGCUCACCAAGGCGACGACGGGUAGCCGGCCUGAGAGGGUGACCGGCCACACUGGGACUGAGACACGGCCCAGACUCCUACGGGAGGCAGCAGUGGGGAAUAUUGCACAAUGGGCGAAAGCCUGAUGCAGCGACGCCGCGUGAGGGAUGACGGCCUUCGGGUUGUAAACCUCUUUCAGCAGGGAAGAAGCCACAAGUGACAGUACCUGCAGAAGAAGCGCCGGCUAACUACG